ACCUGUAUGGCUUACUGAAAAGUUUCCCUGUGCUUUACUCCUUGGACUUUCACUAAAAUUAUUAUUAUUAUUUUUCUCUACAAAAAUUUCACUUACAGAGCUUUCUUUUUGUUUGUUUGUUUCUCUACCUCUUUUUCUCCUAAAAGUAUACUCAUGAAAACUACUAGAUUGACAAUGGCAGAGAAUAAAGUUCUGGGCGGGGAUUGCAUCUGUGAACAUCUCAGGAGACAGGCAAGGAGCUUCAGGGCUGUAGCUUGCGGGGCCUCAUUGUUUGGGAAUGCUGCAUAACAAAAAGAAAGGCCGUGCACUGAGGAGCUUCUGCGAGAAAUUUCUUCAAAACCAAACCAAACCAAACCAAACCAAACCAAACCAAACCAAACCAAACCAAACCAAACCAAACCAAAUCAACAACCUACUCGGCAGCAAGGAAUAGCCCACUUCCCAAAAUUGACUUGGUACCUGGCAGCAUUCAACAGGAUCUUCCUGUGCCUCCUGCCACCAUGAGAAAAGAGCUUCAGCACACUUUGCUUUUGCAGACUUUGCACUUGCAGACUCUCCAGCUGGCUCCUGAAGGAGAUUCAUGAAUUGUGCAUCAUGCAACUAGUCUGAUCUUGCCUACACAUAACUUUAAUUGCAGUAUCUAACAAUUGGUUUGUACUCUUAAUGCAAAGUAUAACAUCUCUGCCAAAAGCAUCAUAAAUGAUGAUAAUUCUUGAGUAUUUUUUAUAUCCUUAUCCCAGUAUUUGAAUCUUAACCAUGCCUCAGCCUCCCCAGUUUUUGAGAAAGUGUGUUCCUUGUUUUAAUUCUGUGCUUUACAGACAAGCACUGUUUAAUUUCUGUGGAUAUUAGUUGUGUUUUAUUGCAGUGACAAUAGGGUUCAGGACAGGAUGAAGAAAGGCCCCCAUCCAGUCUUUUCAGAAUAUGUAAUAUUUUAUUUCCAUCAAAUCCCAGACUACUUGCCACUUCUCUAAUGUUAGUUAUUCCAGUCUUUAUUAACUUGCUUGACAGGAGAAUCCACUUUUUGUCUAAACCUACCUCUACCCUGAAAUACCCUCACUGAGAUGGUUAUUCCUCCCCAUCCUUAUGAAGCAUAACACUCACUUUGCUCUUGGCUGCCCCUGAACACGGAGUUUUUCUCCAAAAUAUCUGCAAUGCCUCACAAUCUCUUUCCUCCAACUGAAAUGGUUGUCAGGAUUUUGCCAGGUAUAAGAUUAGAUUACAUUUUGCCUGUCAAAAAGGUGUUUAUUGUGUUUUACUUUUUUUUUUUUUUUUUUGUUCUGGUUUGCCUGACCUCAUGGUCCACCCUGGCCUGGAUGAAGCCCUAAAUAACUAUAUCACCUGUCAGUUCCUUCCCCCAUUUUUACAGAUAUUACAAUAUAUUUGUCAAGCAGUGCACCAUUUCAAGGCUCUUGCUGAUGACUGCUACACAGAGAAUUCAUCAUUCAACGUUAUCAUUUUUCUUCUAGCCUCUUUCUGAUCUUGUUGUAAUUCUUUGCCUUUCUCUCCGUGAGUAUGUAAUGUUUGUAUGGCUCCUUGAAGAGACCUCUCAGGUUGUGUCACCACUUCUGAAGGAAGCUCAUUCCAGUCCCACUGAUACCACUACCAGCUAGAAGUGUUGUCUUCAAAAGGGCUGGAAAUACAACAGCUGUAGUUUUCAGACUCGCCGAGAUGUCAGCUGAAAAACGCGUACAAAAGCUCGCUAAAAAUAUCUGUCAAAAAUUCAGUUCAUGGCUAAAUAACAAUGCUGUGUGGGAUAUACUGAACCCCAGUUUUGAAGCCUGUUUGGAAACCUUUUUGGCCUGAAGCUGACUUCAGGGAGUCAAAAAUUUACCUGACAUUUAUCUUCGUAUCCCAUCCACUUGUUCUUGCUGCUCCACCACUGCUACCACAGCCUGUUGUCACUCCUAUUGUAUUUCUUUUCUGUGUGCAAUUCUGUCGUCAUUCUAACACAGGCAAAUUGCAAACUCAGAUUCCACUCUUUCCCACUAUUAUUUCUAGUAUGAAUAUUUGUGAAUUUUUGGGCAUUUUAAAGUUUGGGAUAUGUCAUGGCACAGUUUGAUGAGGUUGACAAUUCUGUAGCCUCAAACCACUAUUCUGCCAUAUGGGUAACAUUAACCAGGCUGACUUGACUCGAUCUUCUUUGAAACAACACAACCAUUCUCAA